AGUCGACGGAUCCUUCGGGAUUUAGUGGCGGACGGGUGAGUAACACGUAAGAACCUGCCUCUAGGACGGGGACAACAGUUGGAAACGACUGCUAAACCCGGAUGAGCCGAAAGGUAAAAGAUUUAUCGCCUGGAGAGGGGCUUGCGUCUGAUUAGCUAGUUGGUAAGGUAAGAGCUUACCAAGGCGACGAUCAGUAGCUGGUCUGAGAGGAUGAUCAGCCACACUGGGACUGAGACACGGCCCAGACUCCUACGGGAGGCAGCAGUGGGGAAUUUUCCGCAAUGGGCGAAAGCCUGACGGAGCAAGACCGCGUGGGGGAGGAAGGUUCUUGGAUUGUCAACCCCUUUUCUCAGGGAAGAACUCAAUGACGGUACCUGAGGAAAAAGCAUCGGCUAACUCCGUGCCAGCAGCCGCGGUAAUACGGGGGAUGCAAGCGUUAUCCGGAAUGAUUGGGCGUAAAGAGUCCGUAGGUAGCCAAUCAAGUCUGCUGUUAAAGAGCGAGGCUUAACUUCGUAAAGGCAGUGGAAACUGGAAGGCUAGAGUGUAGUAGGGGCAGAGGGAAUUCCUGGUGUAGCGGUGAAAUGCGUAGAGAUCAGGAAGAACACCGGUGGCGAAGGCGCUCUGCUGGGCUGUAACUGACACUGAGGGACGAAAGCUAGGGGAGCGAAUGGGAUUAGAUACCCCAGUAGUCCUAGCGGUAAACGAUGGAAACUAGGUGUGGCCUGUAUCGACCCGGGCCGUGCCGAAGCUAACGCGUUAAGUUUCCCGCCUGGGGAGUACGCACGCAAGUGUGAAACUUCAAAGGGAAUUUGACGGGGGGCCCGCACAAGCGGUGGGAGUAUGUGGUUUUAAUUCGAUGCCAACGGCGAAGAAUCUUAACCAGG
rnacentral:rRNA from 1 species